UGGGGAAUUUUGCACAAUGGCGGGAACUCUGAUGCAGCGACGCCGCUUGAACGAACAAGACUUUCGAGUUGUAAAGAUCUUUUAUAUGGGAAGAUAAUUACGGUACCAUAAGAAAAAGCCCCUGCUAACUACGUUCCAGCAGCCGCGGUAAUACGUAGGGGGCUAGCGUUGUCCGGAAUCACUGGGCGUAAAGUGUUCGCAAGCGGAAAUGCAAGUCAGGUGUAAAAGGCAGUAGCUUAACUACUGUAAGCAUUUGAAACUGCAUAUCUUGAGAAGAGUAGAGGUAAGUGGAAUUUUUAGUGUAGCGGUGAAAUACGUAGAUAUUAAAAAGAAUACCGGUGGCGAAGGCGACUUACUGAGCACAUUCUGACGCUGAGGAACGAAAGCGUGGGUAGCAAACAGG
rnacentral:rRNA from 1 species